rnacentral:rRNA from 1 species
AAUGGGCGAAACCCUGACGCAGCGACGCCGCGUGGGGGAUGAAGGCCUUCGGGUUGUAAACCCCUUUCAGCAGGGACGAAGCGCAAGUGACGGUACCUGCAGAAGAAGCGCCGGCUAACUACGUGCCAGCAGCCGCGGUAAUACGUAGGGCGCAAGCGUUGUCCGGAAUUAUUGGGCGUAAAGAGCUCGUAGGCGGUCUGUUACGUCCGCUGUGAAAACCCAGGGCUUAACCCUGGGCUUGCAGUGGAUACGGGUAGACUAGAGGCAGGUAGGGGAGAAUGGAAUUCCCGGUGUAGCGGUGAAAUGCGCAGAUAUCGGGAGGAACACCGGUGGCGAAGGCGGUUCUCUGGGCCUGACCUGACGCUGAGGAGCGAAAGCGUGGGGAGCGAACAGGAUUAGAUACCCUGGUAGUCCACGCCGUAAACGUUGGGCGCUAGGUGUGGGGUCCUUCCACGGAUUCCGUGCCGCAGCUAACGCAUUAAGCGCCCCGCCUGGGGAGUACGG